UUGAUUAAACUAGUUCAAAACAACUGGUAGAUCCCGUGGACCUUAUUUUCCUGGUGUGUCUUCAAUUCGAGUAGUACCCUGAUUCGUGGUGCGAAACACCGAGCCAUACCGAGCCAAGAAUGAUCAGCAAACAGUGGCAUGGUAACGAAUCCAGAUGUGCUUCUCUUAUAAAGAUGGGCCACCAAAAAAGGGGCUGCCAGGGUUUAAUGUGUGUGCAAGGGUUCAAUGUAGAAAUGUUGGUGUUAUCUUGGGUUUCAGCAAUUUAGAGGGGCAGCCCCCCCUUCCCCACCCUUUUUUCCUUAUCAGUAACUAUUGACACAUCCACAACCAGCGCAUAAAUUGUCUUUGAGUCACACAAAUUCUACCCUGGAUUAUUGUGUGGAAUAAAGCACUGAUCGUUUAUUUAUACAUUACGAUACGAUGGAGGUCGAUCGAAGUUUUUCGAAUAAUAUAAUUUGGUAAAACCAACGGGACUUUUGCCUCUGUGUCAAAAGGAAUCUUCGUGCGUAACCAUGUCAUUCACAUGAAUCCACGUUCGUUUUCAUGCAAAUCAAAUUCAGUUUUAUAUGAGUUUUGCACCAGGACUCGUUCUGAAAAUGAGGUAAGUCGGAGGUGGCCUAUUGGAUUCGAAUAAAUCGAAGGCCUGGACACCUCAUAAAAAAUUAUCAUAAAAUUAAUUAUACAUUCAUUUUUGCAUUGCACCUCAGUUCAGUGUGACAUGUGGUCACGGACCUGCUCGGCUUCACUUCUUCAAGCAGGAAUUUAACUGCGUUUCUGCCUGACAAAUGACUUUCUAAUGACUAGCAAGUUAUUUCCAAGUCACAAGAACGCCCGGCCUCAGUUGAAGAAACAGAACAUGGCCAAAUUUAAGACGUUUAGCAGAUUCAGCAGAUCAGAGAUAUCUUCACUUGAGAUUACGGAUGCCUUGUGUUCAACCAUUGCGCAGCUAAAAAAGUCCUCGAGCUUGCUUGAGGACCUCUGUGUGAAAUAGACGCUGAGACUUGGGAUAGCAAGUGGACAAGAAAAAAACCCAAUCUUUAUGAGAGCUGGAAUGUGGAGUAAGAUUCACAGAAACAAACACAAGGUUAGGAGGAAACCAAACGAACGCAGGAAAAUGAUUACAGGGAGGAAAACUGAAACUGGGAAUGGAAAAACGGGGAGCAAGCAAUGGAAUUGGGCAAAACGAUUGGAAGACAGCAAGGACAGAAAAUAAGAAGAACACUACUGACUUGAAUUUAAUAAACGUUUUGAAACAAAUCGCGUGUUAUGCGGAUCACUGUCACACACUCGUGAAGAGACAAGCUUCUACGAUACAUUGCUCUACCUAACAUGAUGUUCGUCCUAAACUGUGUUGUACAUUAAUUUGGUCUUGCUAACGUCAUGUUGGACGAAAAUGAUUUGUCGCAGCUUGUCUUAACACGUACACUUAGAAUUUUUUUCAGAUAGUAGAUUGACACUUAGAAAUUUUUCUAGUACACUUUUACACUUAGAAAUUUUUUUUCAGAUAGUAGAUACACACUUAGAAAUUUUUCUAGUACACUUUUACACUUAGAAAUUUUUUUAGAUAGUAGAUA
rnacentral:lncRNA from 1 species